AACGAACGCUGGCGGCAGGCCUAACACAUGCAAGUCGAACGCCGUAGCAAUACGGAGUGGCAGACGGGUGAGUAACACGUGGGAACGUACCCUUCGGUUCGGAAUAACUCAGGGAAACUUGAGCUAAUACCGGAUACGUCCGAGAGGAGAAAGAUUUAUCGCCGAGGGAUCGGCCCGCGUCUGAUUAGCUUGUUGGUGAGGUAACGGCUCACCAAGGCGACGAUCAGUAGCUGGCUGAGAGGAUGAUCAGCCACAUUGGGACUGAGACACGGCCCAAACUCCUACGGGAGGCAGCAGUGGGGAAUAUUGGACAAUGGGCGCAAGCCUGAUCCAGCCAUGCCGCGUGAGUGAUGAAGGCCCUAGGGUUGUAAAGCUCUUUUACCCGGGAAGAUAAUGACUGUACCGGGAGAAUAAGCCCCGGCUAACUUCGUGCCAGCCGCCGCGGUAAU
rnacentral:rRNA from 1 species